GAACAAAUAGCUCAAUGGUAGAGCAGCGGCCUUGUAAGCCAAAGGACUGUGGUUCGAUU
rfam:Daphnia pulex DAPPTscaffold_271_Cont8115, whole genome shotgun sequence.